GACGAACGCUGGCGGCGUGCCUAAUACAUGCAAGUAGAACGCUGAAGGAGGAGCUUGCUUCUCUGGAUGAGUUGCGAACGGGUGAGUAACGCGUAGGUAACCUGCCUGGUAGCGGGGGAUAACUAUUGGAAACGAUAGCUAAUACCGCAUAAGAGUAGAUGUUGCAUGACAUUUGCUUAAAAGGUGCAAUUGCAUCACUACCAGAUGGACCUGCGUUGUAUUAGCUAGUUGGUGGGGUAACGGCUCACCAAGGCGACGAUACAUAGCCGACCUGAGAGGGUGAUCGGCCACACUGGGACUGAGACACGGCCCAGACUCCUACGGGAGGCAGCAGUAGGGAAUCUUCGGCAAUGGACGGAAGUCUGACCGAGCAACGCCGCGUGAGUGAAGAAGGUUUUCGGAUCGUAAAGCUCUGUUGUAAGAGAAGAACGAGUGUGAGAGUGGAAAGUUCACACUGUGACGGUAUCUACCAGAAAGGGACGGCUAACUACGUG
rnacentral:rRNA from 1 species